AAAAGCACACAUAUCACCCCAACCCACCAAAGAUCUCCAAGCUUUUACCAAUAUCCUCUUAAACCCAUUUGUUCCUCUCUUCCACCCAACUUUGUUGCUCCCUCUUACUCAUUCACAGACUCAUGAAAAUAGUGCAUAUAUGCUAGACCUUUACAACUUUAUAAAUUCCUAUUCACUUUUCCAAUUAACACCUCACCCCACACCACAACGACUAGUCAGCUUGUUUUCCUGCUAUCACCAACAUCACCAUCUCAACACAACCUCCCAUACAUCUUUCCUAUUACACCUCUUUAAAUUUGGUUAAUAAUACAUGAAGCUACGUAUUAGCUAAAAACUCAUUAGUGA
rnacentral:lncRNA from 1 species